rnacentral:rRNA from 1 species
UCCUCCUACGGGGCGCAGCAGUGAGGAAUAUUGGUCAAUGGGCGGAAGCCUGAACCAGCCAAGUCGCGUGAGGGAAUAAGGCCCUACGGGUCGUAAACCUCUUUUGCCGGGGAGCAAGGGCCGGGACGCGUCCCGGCCCGGAGAGUACCCGGAGAAAAAGCAUCGGCUAACUACGUGCCAGCAGCCGCGGUAAUACGUAGGGGGCUAGCGUUAUCCGGAAUUACUGGGCGUAAAGGGUGCGUAGGUGGUUUCUUAAGUCAGAGGUGAAAGGCUACGGCUCAACCGUAGUAAGCCUUUGAAACUGG